AUUGAACGCUGGCGGAAUGCUUUACACAUGCAAGUCGAACGGCAGCACGGGGGCAACCCUGGUGGCGAGUGGCGAACGGGUGAGUAAUACAUCGGAACGUGCCCAGUCGUGGGGGAUAACUACGCGAAAGCGUAGCUAAUACCGCAUACGAACUCUGGUUGAAAGCGGGGGAUCGCAAGACCUCGCGCGAUUGGAGCGGCCGAUGGCAGAUUAGGUAGUUGGUGAGGUAAAGGCUCACCAAGCCGACGAUCUGUAGCUGGUCUGAGAGGACGACCAGCCACACAGGGACUGAGACACGGCCCAGACUCCUACGGGAGGCAGCAGUGGGGAAUUUUGGACAAUGGGCGCAAGCCUGAUCCAGCCAUUCCGCGUGCAGGAUGAAGGCCCUCGGGUUGUAAACUGCUUUUGUACGGAACGAAACGGUCCUGGUUAAUACCCGGGGCUAAUGACGGUACCGUAAGAAUAAGCACCGGCUAACUACGUG
rnacentral:rRNA from 1 species